AUGAAAAAAAAAGAAAGCAUUGCCUUCUUUACUAUAUCUUGUAUUUAUCGACUUUUGCCUUGGGGGGUCUCUUCCUCAUUUAACAAAUGUCUGGAACUUUGGAUUAAGAAUUGGUGGAAUACCAGGCAAUCCGAAACUCUCUUAACUGAUAUUCAAGAGAAAAGGAUUCUAGAAAGAUUCAUAGAAUUAGAAGAACUUUCUCUCUUGGACGAGAUGAUAAAAGGGAAACUAAAGACACAUGUACAAAAACCUCCUACAGGAAUACACAAGGAAAUAAUACAAUGGGUCAAAAUAAAUAAUGAGGAUCAUCUCCAUACCAUUUUGCAUUUCUCGACAAAUAUAAUCUGUUUGGCUAUUCUAAGUGGUUCUUUUUUUCUGGGUAAAGAGGAACUUGUCAUUUUGAAUUCUUGGGUUCAGGAAUUCUUCUAUAAUUUAAAUGACUCAAUAAAAGCUUUUUUUAUUCUUUUAGUUACUGAUUUUUUUGUUGGAUUU
rnacentral:rRNA from 1 species